GUGCUUGCUUUGGCAGCACAUAUACUAAAAUUGGAAUGAUACAGAGAUUAGCAUGACCCCUGUGCAAGGAUGACAUGCAAAUUCAUGAAGCACUCCAUACAUUU
rnacentral:snRNA from 1 species